GCCNUGCCGCGUGUGUGAAGAAGGCCUUUUGGUUGUAAAGCACUUUAAGCAGUGAAGAAGACUCUUCGGUUAAUACCCGGGGACGAUGACAUUAGCUGCAGAAUAAGCACCGGCUAACUCUGUGCCAGCAGCCGCGGUAAUACAGAGGGUGCAAGCGUUAAUCGGAAUUACUGGGCGUAAAGCGAGCGUAGGUGGCUUGAUAAGUCAGAUGUGAAAUCCCCGGGCUUAACCUGGGAACUGCAUCUGAAACUGUUAGGCUAGAGUAGGUGAGAGGGAAGUAGAAUUUCAGGUGUAGCGGUGAAAUGCGUAGAGAUCUGAAGGAAUACCGAUGGCGAAGGCAGCUUCCUGGCAUCAUACUGACACUGAGGCUCGAAAGCGUGGGUAGCAAACAGGAUUAGAUACCCNGGUAGU
rnacentral:rRNA from 1 species